GAUGAAGACGCAGCGAAAUGCGAUAAGUAGUGUGAAUUGCAGAAUUCAGUGAAUCAUCGAAUCUUUGAACGCACAUUGCGCCCGCCAGUAUUCUGGCGGGCAUGCCUGUUCGAGCGUCAUUACAACCCUCAGGCCCCCGGGCCUGGCGUUGGGGAUCGGCGGAGCCCCCCGUGGGCACACGCCGUCCCCCAAAUACAGUGGCGGUCCCGCCGCAGCUUCCAUCGCGUAGUAGCUAACACCUCGCGACUGGAGAGCGGCGCGGCCACGCCGUAAAACACCCAACUCUUCUGAAGUUGACCUCGAAUCAGGUAGGAAUACCCGCUGAACUUAAGCAUAUCAAUAAGCGGAGGA
rnacentral:misc_RNA from 1 species